rnacentral:misc_RNA from 1 species
UUAAGUUCAGCGGGUAUUCCUACCUGAUUCGAGGUCAACUCUAAAAAAAAGUUUGGGCGUUUUACGGCAGUGGCCGCGCCGCGCUCCUGUUGCGAAAGUUGUGCUACUACGCAGAGGAGGCCGCGACGAGACCGCCAAUUCAUUUCGGGGGCGGCGGAACACUGCCAAGGCAGCGAGGAUCGCCGGUCCCCAACACCAAA